rnacentral:piRNA from 1 species
UGCAACUCACUCAAUUUAGUAACAGUUUCC